ACGGCGACGGGAGGCCGGUGGAGGGGGAGGAACAGGAGGAGGCCUGGGCCGGUGGCGGGGGCGGAGAGGUCGUGCGGCUGAGGGCCAAGCGCGCGCUCGUCGGCGCCGGGGCGAGGGUGCACUUCUACCCGACGCUCCUCUACAACGUCCUAUGCAACCAAUUGAGGCUGAGUUCCGAUGGUGGGACCGCGUCGACCAGCUUGAGAAGGUGAUCGAAGCAGAAAAGGAAGCUGCACGCCAGUUGGUUCAACAGAAGAAGAAAGACAGAGCUUUGAUUGCACUGAAGAAGAAGAAAUCCCAGGAAGAGCUCCUGAAACAAGUUGAUACAUGGCAAAUGAAUGUCGAACAACAGCUGGCAGAUAUUGAACUAGCAAGUAAGCAAAAGGCUGUAUUGGAAAACCUAAAGACUCAAAAUGCUGCCCUUAAGUCUGUACAGAGUGAGAUUAACAUCGACGAUGUCCAAAAGUUAAUGGAUGACACAGCUGAGGCCAAGGCUUAUGAGGAUGAAAUAAAUGCCGCUCUGGGUGAACAACUAUCUGCUGAGGAUGAGGAGGCUGUCAUGGCUGAAUUCGACAACUUGGAAGCUGAGCUUGCACUUGAGUCUCUGUCGGAUGCUCCCGUUACUGAAGUACAACCUGAAAAGAAACCUAAAGCAGCGGCUUACACUGAAGCUCCAGCUGAAGACAUUGAUGAUGUUAUUGAGCUUCCUGAUGUACCUACUAAAGCGCCAGAGAGGCAUGAAGCUACAGAAAAAACAAAAGUCUUGGAAGAGCCACUACCUGCAUAGCUGGUGGAGCUGAGCUGAAUAGGGAACUCCAAGUCCUGCAGCUUGCAGGAGAGUAAUUUGCUCUUGCAGCAUGCUACAAGGAGAUCCCCGUUGUCUCCUCUGGACAGCUACAAUUAAAUUCUGUUAACUAGGAGUCUAUUUCAUUGGUUGGAUGCUUACGGCGACUUGGGUGCUUUCCACUAAGUCUGUGUUGUAGAUGCUGGUGGUGGUGGUUAUCGUGCUGUUAAAAUGGUAUGUGGAGAUUGAUGCUGAAAAACGGUUGCAUUGCUGGAGGCAUCAUCUCAUGUGGCCGUUGGCACCCACUUGUAUGACGCGGUAGAUAUCUAGCGUUGAGGUAAGGAAGGCCAUUGAUAUAUGAUGGUUUGUAUGCUAUGAUGCGGCAAUUAAUUCCCAAGGAGGUAAGGAAGAUAAUUAAUAUACUAUGGAUGAUAGAUUACAUAUACCAUGUUUCACACAUAUUUUGCACGUGGAUUAAAAAAUGCACUGGAUAUUCUUGGCUGAAGUGCGGUGAUGUGGUUCAUAACACUAUAUUCGUGGGAGUUAAUUAUUUUCCUUUUGUAUCUAUGAAAUGAACUUCCUUGUAGCGGCAAAUUGAAAAGAAUGAUGUUAUGCCAGUGUUAUAUAAGAAUGCUCAACUACUGUAUUAGGAAUAACUGAUUAUUUUCUGAUUGGAUGUGGCAUUGACAGGUUUCCAACAUGUUCUUCCGUGUGAUUGUCUUGUGGUAUUCCAUUUGGCACUGGCGGGUCAACAUGUUUACAUGUUAGGACCACAGAAGCCUUCUGCUUAUUCGGUGCUGAAAGGACGCAUGCAUCCCUAGAUAGCAUGCCUUGAUUUUUGCUUUGCGCAUUUUAGUAUUUUGAUGUGUAUACUGUGACUUGUCUCUGCUAUAAAGACCGACCGCCUAAUUUGUCCAACCUCCAUGUGCAGUGUAUUUUGCUAGGAGCCAUUCCUUUCCCAAGUGAUGUUCCACGUUUGAAGCAACUUGGAGUUCAGGGAGUUGUAACAUUGAAUGAGCCUUAUGAGACUCUGGUGCCAAUGUCCUUGUACCAGGCCCAUGGGAUUGAUCAUCUUGUGAUUGCCACAAGAGACUACCUCUUCGCACCAUCCCUCGAAGAUAUUUGUCAAGCCAUCGAUUUUAUCCACCGGAGAUAAGGAGGAGAAAAAGCAGAGGUCCUCUUCACAGGAUAGACCUUUUAUGUGUCAUGUCGAGAAUGGUGUUUGAUAAGAAGUCCAAGCAGGCUGCAUAUGAGGUGAAUCAAGAGGAAGUUGGUACGAUAUGCAGCCUUCAAAGCAUAGUUUGUGAUCGGAUCGGAUUCGAGGUGUAUUUAUAGUGAUCACAUAAAUGGAAAGCUACAUGAAGAUACAUGAGACAAGAGGUUAACACUCUUCUAUGUGUUACCCUCUAUUAUUAGAUUGUAUUGUUGACACCGAUUUUGUGACCCAAAUAUGGUGAGUACAAUUUUACCUUAUAUAUGUUUGUUGAUACAACAA